rnacentral:rRNA from 1 species
UACGGAGGGGACUAGCGUUGUUCGGAAUUACUGGGCGUAAAGCGCGCGUAGGCGGUGAUCUUUGUCAGAGGUGAAAGCCCGGGGCUCAACUCCGGAAUUGCCUUUGAAACGGGAUCGCUUGAGUCCGAGAGAGGAUGGCGGAAUUCCUAGUGUAGAGGUGAAAUUCGUAGAUAUUAGGAAGAACACCGGUGGCGAAGGCGGCCAUCUGGCUCGGUACUGACGCUCAGGCGCGAAAGCGUGGGGAGCAAACAGGG